rnacentral:rRNA from 1 species
UACAGAGACUGCGAGCGUUAUUCGGAUUCACUGGGCGUAAAGGGUGCGCAGGCGGCCAAGUGUGUUAGGCGUGAAAGCCCGGGGCUUAACCCCGGAAUUGCACCUAAAACUACAUGGCUAGAGUACUGGAGAGGGUAACGGAAUUCACGGUGUAGCAGUGAAAUGCGUAGAUAUCGUGAGGAACACCAGAGGCGAAGGCGGUUACCUGGACAGUUACUGACGCUCAGGCACGAAAGCGUGGGGAGCAAAAGGG